UUCCACGUGUCUGGAAUGGGAGGAGAGAGUGACAAAGGUGUCACUACCUCGAUUGACUUGUCUGACACGUUGGCUCAUAAGCGACAAGAUGGGCUUCGGAUAAUGGGUUGGAGUACUUGGCUACUGGUUGGACAAGUGGAGGGGGCCUAGGCAAAGCUCUCUGAUGGAAAUUUUCAUCCUGUAAUCUUUUAACGCACUCACUCAACUUCAAGCCUAUUACGAUAUAGAAAAGCUUUCUUUUUCUUUUUCUUUUUUUGUUUUCUUUUGUUAAGAGUAAUUUCACCGGAGCUGCAUUAAGCCUAAUUUAUUUGCCUUCGAUUGAGAUGAUGCUGAGAAGAAGAUAAACGAGGAACAAAGAAGAAGAUGAAGAAGAAGAUGAGGAAAGGCCAGGCAGCCAUUGGAACAGAGAGGAAGAGAGCAUUGAGAGAAAAAUUCUUGGGAAAGAGGGGGCUGAGUGAUGAGUAUGGUUGAUGGCGGUCGAGAGUGUUUCCGAGGUUUUCCUUGUUUGUGGCCUUUCGGAAAAGGCAGAUCCGACAUUCCUUUAGUUAUUCGGGAUGAAGUGGGGUUCAUUCAUCCGUCCCAAUUCGCUACGCUGAAUGAAGAGGCGAGUACAUCCACAAAGAAUGAAACUUUGAGCCGCGGAGCAUAAUCAAAUGUCAAUGCUUGGUUUUGGAACAAAGAUCACAAACUGGGAAUUUCAACAGACAUACUUCUUAUGCUGUACCGAGUGGCUAAACGCGCGUUCAUGGCUGCUUAAACAGUACAAGGCGCUUAGCAACUCGUCUUCCCAUGGCGAUAUUGAAAGUGAAGUUAUGAUGCAUAGCAGGGCUCUCUUGUUGCUAAGCUGCGAUUUUGGCACUGCGUGGCAUUCCUAGUUUUCUUUAUUUUCCUGUUUGGUGUUGAUGUUUUUCUCUCUCUUUUUUUUUUGAUGGGCUUCUUUAAUUUGGUUUUAAUCCUAAUGGCACCUUUGCUAUGUUAGGCAGUAAUGUAUGUGGUAAUUCAUGACAACUACUCAUUUUGUGUAAAUCCAUGCAGGAAAUUAGUUGUCGCGAAGAAGCGUUCACUUUCUAUGUUUGUGGAUGAACUUCACUUGUUCUGGUAUGCACCCUAAAGUGAAAACGCUUGGAGCUAUAGGUAAUAUUAAUGCAUAAGAUGUGAAAGCAAAAUUAUGUACAGUUGCUGUCAUUGUCUUGCAACUAUCACAAAAAUGAUGUCGGCUUGAAGGGAAUUAUAUAGAUUGGCCGUGUCACUUCGUGUUCUUCAGUCUUCUUCAUUUGCUUGGAUGAUGUAUGGAUUGAUAAAACCGGAUAAAUCUUUUUCUCCACCUUCUUUUGAUGGCAAGCUGGAUAUUGUUUUUGAUUA